rnacentral:rRNA from 1 species
UACAGAGGGGGCUAGCGUUGUUCGGAAUUACUGGGCGUAAAGGGCGCGUAGGCGGCCCUCUAAGUCGAACGUGAAAUCCCCGGGCUCAACCCGGGAACUGCGUCCGAUACUGGAGGGCUCGAAUCCGGGAGAGGGAUGUGGAAUUCCAGGUGUAGCGGUGAAAUGCGUAGAUAUCAGGAGGAAUACCGGUGGCGAAGGCGGCCUUCUGGACGGUGACUGACGCUGAGACGCGAAAGCGUGGGGAGCAAACAGG